UUUCCAAUUUUAUUUAUCACUCUCAAAAAAAAAGAAAAAAAAUUUCUUCUCUUUUUCUCUCUCCUCUCCUCUCUCUCUCUUUUCUCUUUUACAAUUUUCGAGGACAAGCAGUUGGAGAAUAAUAAUGAAGAAAAUAAUGACAAGGAGUGUCAAUAAGAUCUUCAA
rnacentral:ribozyme from 13 species